AGGUCAGUUUACCCCAAAUGGCUCCAAUUUUAGUGACCUCCAAGUGCAGCCAGCAUCACUUUCUGUGUUGCUCUUAAUAUCCUGCCUGCUGCUGAGGAUAAAAUUUAUUUCUUGACUGGGCCUGCACAAGAUUCAAGCUCUGAAACGCCACAGUAAGGGAAAGCCCCAGCACCUCUCCAGAGUUUGUCACAAGAAGAGAAGCUGCAGGUGAGUGAGAGGAGCUGGUGAGCACUGCCAGAGUCCCUGACAGGGGGGCUGAUGCAAACUGCAGCUCAGGCAUCACGGUGGUGAGCCAGAAGCUGUAUUCAUUAGCGAAGAACUGACACGUUCCCCGCUGGCCCUGGCACUCGAUGAAUGGUGCUGAUCUGAAGUCUUCCAGGCAGCUUCCCGGUGACAUAAGGGACUGUCCACCACCCUGGUCACCAGAUCCAGUGUGCUGGAAAGAACAAAGAGACAACUUGGUAACUGAGCAUGAAAAAUAGGUACAGCAGACUAUAGCCAGUCCAUAACUUUGGCAUCCCCUGUGGGCAGAGUGGUUCUCUGUCUGACUGACUGUGAAGGACAAGCAAGAAUCCACUUGCAGAUCUAAUCUGGGGGCCUGGUUGUCCUGGGACACCAGUCGGGCCAGGUGGACCUUGGAGAAAG